rnacentral:rRNA from 1 species
ACGCUCGACACCUACGUGAGGCAGCAGUGGGGAAUAUUGCACAAUGGGGGAAACCCUGAUGCAGCGACGCCGCGUGAAGGAAGAAGUAUCUCGGUAUGUAAACUUCUAUCAGCAGGGAAGAAAAUGACGGUACCUGACUAAGAAGCCCCGGCUAACUACGUGCCAACAGCCGCGGUAAUCUGAGCGGGCUGGCAAGGC